UCUGUUGUAGUCUAGUUGGUUUGGAUACUUGGUUCUCACUUGAAAAACUCGGGUUCAAUUCUCGGCAAUGGAA
rfam:Ipomoea nil DNA, scaffold: scaffold0761, cultivar: Tokyo-kokei standard.